GCCCAGGCCAGUUCUCGCGGCCUCUGGGCUGGACCAGGCUCUGCUCUGAGCGCGCUGCUCGGCGGCCCCGCGGGCGAGCCUACCGCUUCCCACGGCGACUCGGGCUCCAGCGCCAGGCGCUGGCGCGGACCCGCUUCCGUUCCGGGAGAGCGAGGGGCCCGAAACUUCACCUUCGCCCUGGACCUCAGAACACCGACCCGAGGCCGAAGCAAAGGUGUGGUUCAAGCCGGACAGAAAGGACGGCGCUGCUCCUCCCGGCCGGGGACCUGCGCGUUGCGGCCCCGCGGGAUGCGGUGGCCCCUGGGCCGCGCGCUGAGCUUCCCCGCACUCGGGCCGCGCGCCUCCGGUCCUCGGGGUCCGGCCCGGAGGCCUGAGCUCGCGCCCCAAGCCCUGGCCGGGAAGAUGCCAUCCCGGCCCGCGGCGACCCGAGCCCGAGGCGGGAGCCAGACGGCGCCGCCGGACUCGGGCGAGGGGUAAGGCCGGGCUGGGACCCCAUUUAGGGAAACGGCCUGCUCCAGAGGAAGUCCCCAAGUGUCAAGUGGCCCCGGGAAGGCUCCGCGGGGUUGCGGGGACUCCACAGUGCAGUUCGGUCCCGCGAGUGUCUCUCCAGCCCUCGCCUUCUCCCCUCCACUCCCCUCUCCACAGCCCCCGCCCCGCGCCAGUCCCGGGCGGCGGAGGCGAAGCCCACCGAGCCUAGAGAGAGCGAAGCCGCCCCCUGCUGGCCAGAUGAGGCAGGCGCGGCCAACAGCUCCGCUCCCCUCCGUCCCGCCGGCGCGCCUGCCCGGACCCAGCGCGACCCUCCUGUGCCCCCAGCGAGGGGGACGUGUUCAAAGAAACAGAAAACAAAACAAAAACAAACCAAGGGCCAAAACCACUCUCACCUCGUUUGCUGCUCAAAGUGAUCAGAGAACAAAGGAAUCCUUGAAGAAAGUGAGACUCAAAGCAUCGCAGGAUAUAUGAUUUCUGAUUCUUUGUUCAGAAAACAAGGGCAUCCAUGCCAGCCAGUGCUUCGAUGGUGAGAAAAUUACUCUGCUUCAUGAAGAAUAAUUUCCUUCCUCAUUUAGGACAUGGUCUGAAAGAAUAGAAGAUGGUGGUCAUUCUUCAACAGUUUGACAGCCUACACUGCUUCAGAUGUGGCAAAGUUUAUUUCAAAAAGUAAAAGUCAAGAAUGACAGAGAAACUGGCUCUACAGAGUGAGCCAGGUGAAAGAGGAAAAAAGCAAGAUAAAAGCACACCCUGGAGAAAGCAGGGCUGGAUACCAUGAAGAAAGCCAUGAUAGUCUUAUUUUGUUUUCAUUUCCUGUGAAGCCCUAUUCAUCUCCUUUGUUCAUUUUACUUGUUGUGUUUUUUGAUGUUUAUCUAUUUGUACAUGAAUUUGGUAAUUUAGAUAUAAGCUUUUUGUUUAUUCAUAGGCAUUGCAAAUAUCUUCUCAAUGUGUACUUGUGUUUUAAAUUUUUCUAUUGUUAUGCAUAUGUUUUAAAUUUAAGUGUAAUUAAGAAUAUUUUUUCUUGUAUGUUUUAGACUUUCAGAAUGAGCAAAAUCACAUCCUAAAAAUAUCCUAUACUUUCUUCUUCUAAAACUUUAGAUUUAAUUUUCACAGGUAAAUUUUCAGUUCACUUUAGAUUUUUAUAAAAUGUAUUUUUAAAAUUUACGUGAGCUAAAAUUCCUAUUUCUUUUCUUUUCCUUCUCCCCAUUCCCAACCAGUUUUGUGAGAUUUAACAGUUACAUAGCUUUACAGGAACACUAUCACAGUCAAAAUACAGAACACUUUGAUGAAGGGAAAGUUUCCCUUAGAUUGCCCCUGGGCAAACUCCCUGCCCUAAAUCCUGGCAACCACUGAUUUGUUCUGUAUCCCUAUAGAUUUUUUUUGGUUGUUUGUUUUGUAUCAGAUACUGGGGAUUGAAGCCAGGCCUUCAUGUACUGAGCUACCUCCCCAGUCUCCUCAGUUCCUAAUUUCCCAGUCUGGGGUUGAAUGCUAGAUCCUUUUGCUCAGCCUCAAUACUGGGAUUACAGCUAUGUGCCUCUAUGCUGGGUUACCUUAUAGUUUGUUUUUGCUUUUUUACUUUUUAAAGUAAAUCAUAGACAUAGAAUCAUAAAAUAUGUAAUCUUUGAAAUUACUUUCU
rnacentral:lncRNA from 1 species